rnacentral:misc_RNA from 1 species
CGCAUCUUCUACAUUAGUGCCACCACUUUUGUAUUUCCUUACGUGAUGCGCCCUCCUAGGUAUUUUGUGCCCUUUUUUCUGUUGCGCGCGCGUGCGUGAGUGCGCAUAUGUGUGCACCUUAGCGCUCCUGCUUCCCAACCGCUACCCCCCUUGCGUGUAACCUGUUUCCUCGUUGGCUGUGGUUAUCUCAUUCAUUUCCAGUCCCUUUCUAUUCCAGAUUGCAUGCGUGUGUAUGUAAGCGUCUUCUGUGCCAGGUCUAGCGAGCAGCACACAGGGGCGAGAUGUGGUUCCGGAACGCACUGAUGGGCUGCUUUCUGUGCUCUCUGCACGCAUAUGCAUGUGCGAGUGUGCAUGCAGUCAACAAGAUCAUAGAUUUAGAGAGGCGCGCAUCGAAACGUUCGGCUUUCACUUUCUCGUUGGCUAUCUGUCUCCUGUGAGGGCCGUGGGAGACCAUGGAUGCGCGCACACGACGCAUGUGUGCUAAAUCAGCUUUUUAUUGCUUUGUUUUUUUUUUUUGUAAUUGUGCUUUACGUGAGGUGCAACUGGCGAGCUAUCGAGUCCAUGCUCUUAGAAAAUGCCUCUCGGUCUUCACCGCAACUGACUAAUCGUUGACAACUCCGUGGUGGGCCUCGCGACUGUUGGAGCGGCGCCACGAGAAUUGCAAACGCCAUAUGAUCAUCUCCUUCGCCGUGGCGCGCUUUUUUGUACAUCUGCUUUUUUUUCCUUUUUUUCUUCAGAGCGCUCUUGUAUCAUCUCUGUCGUGGUCUACCUUCAACAGGAGUGUAUGGCUCGCAUGUCUACCUCCUUCUCUCCCUCACCCUCCUCUCUGCUGAUCGCUGCCACACGAGUAGACGCGUUUCCCAUUGUAUUAUUUUCCAUGUUUUUCCUCUUUUGUGGUUUUUACUCAGCCGGCUUCAACCCCACUGCUCCUCUUUUUCGCUUCCUUUGUGUGCGCGUUUUUUGGGGUUCGUCUCUUCGUGCCACAAAAGCACACCCUCAUACACACAUAUACCCUUCCUUCGUUUUAUGGCUUUCUCUUUUCUGUGCUCUUCUUGGAGGGUUAUGUUAGCGUUUAUUCCUCCCCCUCAUCGCCCACCUCUCUCUUUUCCUCAUACCCGGAACCCCCUCUCUGAUCCCGGGUGCGCAUCGCUGCGGUGUGGGCGAAUUUGUUUGUUCUCGUCUCGGGUCCUUUGAAAUGUUUCCCGCACUCCAUGUGUUCUCUCUGCUGUGUUGCACUCGACGUACUUCGCAUCUUUUGGUUGCCCUGCCCAUGAGUGCGUUUUGUCGGUGUCUGGGUUGUGUCGUGCGAGCAUAGUCUAUUCUCGGCUCUGUUUUUUUUUUUUGUCUCGGCUACGUAGCGUUGUGUCUGUUCUCUCAGAAGCGGGGGUCCCGUCACUGACCUGCGUGCGUGCACCUACGGGAAUCUGAGCUGCCGCUUUCUACAAUUCACCUUUCCAUAACAUGUCCCGGCUCAUCUGGCUUUCGCCCACGGCAACAG